UACAGAGGUCUCAAGCGUUGUUCGGAUUCAUUGGGCGUAAAAGGUGCGUAGGCGGCGCGGUAAGUCGGGUGUGAAAUCUCGGAGCUUAACUCCGAAACUGCAUUCGAUACUGCCGUGCUUGAGGACUGGAGAGGAGACUGGAAUUUACGGUGUAGCGGUGAAAUGCGUAGAUAUCGUAAGGAAGACCAGUGGCGAAGGCGGGUCUCUGGACAGUUCCUGACGCUGAGGCACGAAGGCCAGGGGAGCAAACGGG
rnacentral:rRNA from 1 species